GACAGAGGUGCCAAGCGUUAGGCGGAAUCACUGGGCUUAAAGCGUGUGUAGGCGGAUCGUUAAGUACCUUGUGAAAUCCCACGGCUCAACCGUGGAACUGCUCGGUAUACUGGCGGUCUUGAGCCACCUAGGGGCAACUGGAACAAGCGGUGGAGCGGUGAAAUGCGUAGAUAUCGCUUGGAACGCCAACGGUGAAAACAGGUUGCUGGGGGGUGUGCU
rnacentral:rRNA from 1 species